ACCGUCCAAUAGAGCGAGUGAAACAGCACCUGCUGCCAUUCUGGCAUUACGUCAAUGGUGGACGUCUCAUUCGCUGGAUUGGGAGGAGUUACCGUGACCGCCAUUGUUACAGCUCCUUCGUAUUGCAGAACGUGAUCUGUGAAUACCGUGUCGUCCCAUUACCUUUUUAACAAAUUUGUGUCUACGACGUAAAUUUCAGCAACGACGGUAUACGGCAUCAGUAAGAGUGUUCUGAGCGUAGCAUGUCCACAAUGAAUCCCGAGUAUGAUUAUUUGUUUAAAUUGCUGUUAAUUGGAGAUUCAGGAGUUGGAAAAUCUUGUCUAUUAUUACGUUUUGCUGAUGACACAUACACAGAAAGUUAUAUCAGCACUAUUGGUGUAGACUUCAAGAUAAGAACAAUUGAUUUAGAUGGGAAGACAAUAAAAUUACAAAUUUGGGAUACAGCAGGCCAAGAACGAUUCAGAACAAUUACAAGCUCUUACUACAGAGGUGCACAUGGUAUUAUUGUUGUUUAUGACAGCACAGAUCAAGAAACAUUUAACAAUGUUAAACAGUGGCUGGAAGAAAUCGAUCGUUAUGCCUGCGACAAUGUUAAUAAGCUGCUGGUCGGCAAUAAAUGUGAUCUUCAUGCUAAAAAAGUAGUUGAUUACACAAUAGCAAAGGAAUAUGCAGAUCAACUCGGUAUUCCAUUCUUGGAGACAUCAGCAAAAAAUGCAAUGAAUGUGGAACAGGCUUUUAUGACAAUGGCUGCAGAAAUAAAACUUAGAGUGGGACCUCCAUCCAGUGGUAACAGUGAUCCAGCAAAUAAAGUGAAAAUAGAACAUGGACGUCCAAUUGAGCCUUCCAAGUCUGGUUGCUGCUGAGAAAUGUAAUUCUAUAUUUGCUUAAGGAGUUUAAUAUCGUCGAACAACGAAUGAGAAUACUCCCUUAACCAAAGACAUCUUAUGGUAGCAGUGUUGCACUGCUUAAAAAAAGAACAUCAUCGGAAGAAAUGUGAAAGAAGUUUCAGUUUACAUUAAUAAAAAGAAAAGAGGUGUGAAGCAUUAUCAAUUAUGGACCACCAACUCUGUUACAGAGUUGAAUAAAAAUAACUUUGUUCUUUCUUUUUUUCAAUAAGAGGAGAACAUGAUUAAUCACUCGCUAACAUACCUAGUGCAAAAAAUCGACCAUAGGGAAAUUCGUCGAAUUAGCAUUAAAGAUCAUUGAUUUUAUGCAAUGAUACGUUUAACGGCAAUUCGAGUUUAUAAAAGUAAAUUAAAUAAUAUUAAGUGUAUCGUGGUUAUAAAGAUAAGCACUCUUAUUUUUUAGUGUAAUUAUAACAUAUAUAAUUGAA